AUGCACGCAGGGGUUCUGGGCCUGUCUGCCCUGCUGCUGGCGGCCGAGCAGAGCGCGCGCCUCUGCACUGUGGUUUACUACUUCACCACAGGCCGGCUCCUCUGGGCCUGGCUGGUCCUCUCGGUGCUACUGCCUGGCUUCUUGGUCCAGGGCCUGAGCUAUCUCUGGUUCCGAGAAGAUGGACGUCAAGGUGGCUGCUUGCUGGUGGUCCUGCACCUCCUCCAGCUCGGCGUGUGGAAGCGGCAUUGGGACGCUGUGUCCGCCAGCCUCUGGAAGGAAGGGCAAGCCGCCCCCCAGGCCCCGCUGCUGCUGUGGGAGGCGGACCUGGCAGCCCUGCGCCUCCUCGAAGCCCUGCUUCAAGUCGGGCCCCACCUGCUGGUCCAAACAUACAUUUUCCUCGCCUCUGACUUCACUGCUCCCAUGCCAGGAGUGAGUGCCCUGUGCUCCUGGACCACGCUGUCCUGGGCCCUGGUGUGCUAUGCCCGAUCCCUGGGCUCCAUGAAGCCGGACCACCCCUCCGCACCCUGGACGGCCCUCGGCUGCCAGCAGCUCUGGAGGAUGGGCAUGGUUGGGGCUCGCGUCCUCAGCCUGGUUCUCUUCUUCCGGGCUUACGGUGUCUGGGUGCUGGUAGUCACAGGUGCCCACUGGCUGGUGAUGACCUUCUGGCUCGUGGCUCAGCAGAGUGACAUCGUGGACAGCACCUGCUGCUGGAGGCUCUUCAACCUGCUCGUGGGUGCCGUGUUCAUCCUCUGCUACCUCAACCUCUGGGACGGCCCCUCCAGAAACAGGAUGGCCACGUUCUACACGGUGAUGCUGCUCGAAAAUAUCAUCCUCGUGUUGCUGGCGACGGACUUUCUCCAGGGGGCCUCGUGGACCAGCCUGGGGGCCAUUGCAGGCGUCUUGUCUGGAUUUCUGAUCGGCAGUGUCUCUCUGGUCGUUUACUACAGCCUGCUGCAUCCGAAAUCCACAGACAUCUGGCGGGGCCCCACAGAGGGUGAUAAAGCAGAAGAAGACUCUUCUCCACAAGCCCUGGGCCCGGCAGGGGAGGGACCAGACAGCGUGGGGCCCUGCCCAGAGGAAAGCGAUGAGCUCCCAAGCCUGGGAAAGCCCCCCAGCCCACAGUGGGCGCCCCCAGAGGCUGGGCUGGAAAGCCAGACGGUGGGAGAGGCCUCUUUCCUCAGCCACCACCACUGGCUGCUGGUGAAGCUCGCUCUGAAGACGGGGAACGUGUCAAAGAUCAAUGCAGUCUUUGGAGAAGAUGGCCUGGCCCGCUUUUGCUCCCCUGAGUGGGGGUUGAGCCAACACCGCAGCGGCUGGAGGACGCCCCCACCCCCGCAGCAGGAGCCCCCUUCAUCACCCCAGGACCCUCUAACCUCAGAGGAAGGCUCUGAGUUUCCAGUGGUGCCCAAAGCAGAGGCUGACGAGACCUCCAGUUACCUGUCUUUUGCCAUCGAGAGUCCUGACCGAGCUCCAGCCCAGCAGCCGUCAGCUGCAAGCCGUCAGCUGCGGGAGGGCGGCUCAGAGGAGGGAGCUGGGGCCGCCGCGGGGGUGAAGGGUGCAGGGGGGCGCCCGGGGGGCGGGGGCGGGCAGGCCGGCUCCACGCUGUACUUCAGCGCCACCGCCACCGCCGAAGGGGCGCUCCCCUCCCCCGGGGAGCCGACGUCCCUCUCCGGGAAGGGGCUGGGGUCGGGCAGCUCCGAGCGCUUUCCCCUCAGCGUGGCCGACAUCAGCCCCAUCCUAGGCCCCGGAGGACGCUUACAGCCCAGCGGCCGGGCCCGGGGCGGCUCGGGGCUCCGGGGGCAGCGGGAGUCCCCGCGUCGCCCCGUCGCGGCUGGUACCCAGAGGCCGCUGCCCGAGGGCCGCCCGAGGCCCGCGGACGCGCCCUGCCUCACGUCCACCCCCAAGUGCACGGCCCCCGCCGGGGACUGCGGCCGCAGGGCGAGGCUGGCGGCCGAGGCGGGUUUCCCGCUGAGCACGGUCAGUGGGUGA
rnacentral:lncRNA from 1 species